rnacentral:rRNA from 1 species
UACAGAGGUCUCAAGCGUUGUUCGGAUUCAUUGGGCGUAAAGGGUGCGUAGGCGGCGCGGUAAGUCGGAUGUGAAAUCUCCGGCUUAACCCGGAAAGGUCAGCCGAUACUGGCGGGGCAGAGUGGCAGAAGGGGCAACUGGAAUUCGUCGGUGUAGCGGUGAAAUGGCGUAGAUAUCGAGAGGAACACCUGCGGCGAAGGCGGGUUGCUGGGCUGACACUGACGCUGAAGUGCGAAAGGCGUGGGGAGCAAACAGG